rnacentral:rRNA from 1 species
GAUGAACGCUGGCGGCGUGCCUAAUACAUGCAAGUCGAGCGAACGGACGAGAAGCUUGCUUCUCUGAUGUUAGCGGCGGACGGGUGAGUAACACGUGGAUAACCUACCUAUAAGACUGGGAUAACUUCGGGAAACCGGAGCUAAUACCGGAUGAUAUUUUGAACCGCAUGGUUCAAAAGUGAAAGACGGUCUUGCUGUCACUUAUAGAUGGAUCCGCGCUGCAUUAGCUGGUUGGUAAGGUAACGGCUUACCAAGGCAACGAUGCAUAGCCGACCUGAGAGGGUGAUCGGCCACACUGGAACUGAGACACGGUCCAGACUCCUACGGGAGGCAGCAGUAGGGAAUCUUCCGCAAUGGGCGAAAGCCUGACGGAGCAACGCCGCGUGAGUGAUGAAGGUCUUCGGAUCGUAAAACUCUGUUAUUAGGGAAGAACAUAUGUGUAAGUAACUGUGCACAUCUUGACGGUACCUAAUCAGAAAGCCACGGCUAACUACGUGCCAGCAGCCGCGGUAAUACGUAGGUGGCAAGCGUUAUCCGGAAUUAUUGGGCGUAAAGCGCGCGUAGGCGGUUUUUUAAGUCUGAUGUGAAAGCCCACGGCUCAACCGUGGAGGGUCAUUGGAAACUGGAAAACUUGAGUGCAGAAGAGGAAAGUGGAAUUCCAUGUGUAGCGGUGAAAUGCGCAGAGAUAUGGAGGAACACCAGUGGCGAAGGCGACUUUCUGGUCUGUAACUGACACUGAUGUGCGAAAGCGUGGGGAUCAAACAGGAUUAGAUACCCUGGUAGUCCACGCCGUAAACGAUGAGUGCUAAGUGUUAGGGGGUUUCCGCCCCUUAGUGCUGCAGCUAACGCAUUAAGCACUCCGCCUGGGGAGUACGACCGCAAGGUUGAAACUCAAAGGAAUUGACGGGGACCCGCACAAGCGGUGGAGCAUGUGGUUUAAUUCGAAGCAACGCGAAGAACCUUACCAAAUCUUGACAUCCUUUGACAACUCUAGAGAUAGAGCCUUCCCCUUCGGGGGACAAAGUGACAGGUGGUGCAUGGUUGUCGUCAGCUCGUGUCGUGAGAUGUUGGGUUAAGUCCCGCAACGAGCGCAACCCUUAAGCUUAGUUGCCAUCAUUAAGUUGGGCACUCUAAGUUGACUGCCGGUGACAAACCGGAGGAAGGUGGGGAUGACGUCAAAUCAUCAUGCCCCUUAUGAUUUGGGCUACACACGUGCUACAAUGGACAAUACAAAGGGCAGCGAAACCGCGAGGUCAAGCAAAUCCCAUAAAGUUGUUCUCAGUUCGGAUUGUAGUCUGCAACUCGACUACAUGAAGCUGGAAUCGCUAGUAAUCGUAGAUCAGCAUGCUACGGUGAAUACGUUCCCGGGUCU